AAAAAAGAUCCAUGUCAUAUUUCAACAAUCAUGUCUUUCACCUAUUCAUUGAUUGGCCUUGGUCUUGCAAUUGCCAAAGUUGCAGGUUAUAUAUGUUUCAUUUCAUGACACUAUAUCUUGGCAGAAAAAAAAAACAUUAUCCUUAAACUGGUUUUUGUUUUGAAACAGAAAAUGGUUCUUUAAAAGGUAGUCUCACAGGAGUAAGCAUUGGAACUGUGUCGAAAGUGGAAAUUAUACUGCUUUUCUCUUUAACUAAUUGGCUAUCGUUUUCUGUUAGAUUCGCUACGUAAAACUGUUUUGCAGAUGCUCUGUAGGAUUGCCGGCAGUUUGGUAUCAAAGAUACAGUUUGGAUGGAGUAUAAUGAUGGGAAUGGAAGUCAUGUGCAAAUUAGUUUAAAGAAAAAGGUUCUAAAGUAAGGCAAGGAAGGAGUCAUCAAGAAGAAAUUGUUAGAAGCAAUUCAAAUUUAGUUUUUUUUAGAUAGUAAAAUAUAUAAAACAAAACAAAAAGUCAAAUUAAUUUUAAAAUUUAAAUAAACUGUUUUAUAAUAAAUUAUAAAUUAAUAACUGAUAUUAAUAAGAGUAUUGAAAGUGAACCUAUUUGUUUAAAUACUCUUAUUUGUUUUUUUUUAUAAAAUUUAAACUUUUAAUCGGACAAAUUCAUCAAUGAGCAUUUAGGUUUGAAUAAUUAUUGAUUUUAUGUCUAAUGUAAUUCUAUGUACUAAUGAUGUUCUUUAAUUCUUUUAUCUUUCUAACAUUGUCGGUGUAUUAUUUUAUUCAUGACCUCUUUGCUAAAAAAAGAAAUAAAAUUAUCCUAAUAAAGAGGACUUUCCAUUGUCUCACAGAUGCCAAAAUUGCCAAUGCAGCAGCUAAUUAAACAGCCACGGCUGAGAGUUUGAUCGAUUUAAUUGUCAUCGCAUUCUGAACCUUCUAUUCACCUUGAAUUAAUUGAAAUUUAAUUUAUAUUUAUAUUUAUAUUUGAUUAGUUAUUUCUUUUAUAUUUGUAUCUAAUUUUUUUCUUCAUAUUAAAAUUAAAACGCUAACGGAUCAAUUCCAGCUAAAUACGAAAUAAUAUAGUACAGACACUCACGGGUAGUUAUAUGAUACUGAUAUUAACAUAUUUAAUUAAAUAUUAAAUAAUAACAAGAAUAAGUUUACUAUUGAUUUAAAUAAUUUUAUAGAUAAUUCCAAAACAAAAUUAAUUUGGAACAUUGAUUAAUCAAUAUAUCCCAAACUUUAUUGAAUUUUUUUUUCUAUAUUUUACACAUUUGUUUUUAGGAUAUUUACUUCUACAAUAAUAUAUAUUGAACAAAAUAACAUUUUUGCUUACUGUUUUUACAGCACUCAAUUGUAGUUUAUUUAAACAUUUUCUCAAUUAUGAUUGGAAAUGGUACAAAUAUUCUAUGAAAUAACUCUUGAUAUUCCCUUAGAGAAAAAAUACACAACCGGUGAUAAACAUAUUUUGGUGUGGUGAAACUAAAUUAUAUUGUGAAGAAA